UACAGAGGGGCAAGCGUGUCCGGAAUUAUUGGGCGUAAAGCGCGUGUAGGCGGUCCGGUAAGUCGGCUGUGAAAGUCCAGGGCUCAACCCUGGGAUGCCGGUCGAUACUGCCGGACUAGAGUUCGGAAGAGGCGAGUGGAAUUCCCGGUGUAGCGGUGAAAUGCGCAGAUAUCGGGAGGAACACCAAUGGCGAAGGCAGCUCGCUGGGACGUUACUGACGCUGAGA
rnacentral:rRNA from 1 species